rnacentral:rRNA from 1 species
GACGAACGCUGGCGGCGUGCCUAAUACAUGCAAGUAGAACGCUGACGAGAGGAGCUUACUCUUCUUGGAUGAGUUGCGAACGGGUGAGUAACGCGUAGGUAACCUGCCUUGUAGCGGGGGAUAACUAUUGGAAACGAUAGCUAAUACCGCAUAACAAUGGAUGACACAUGUCAUUUAUUUGAAAGGGGCAAUUGCUCCACUACAAGAUGGACCUGCGUUGUAUUAGCUAGUAGGUGAGGUAAUGGCUCACCUAGGCGACGAUACAUAGCCGACCUGAGAGGUGAUCGGCCACACUGGGACUGAGACACGGCCCAGACUCCUACGGGAGGCAGCAGUAGGGAAUCUUCGGCAAUGGGGGCAACCCUGACCGAGCAACGCCGCGUGAGUGAAGAAGGUUUUCGGAUCGUAAAGCUCUGUUGUAAGUCAAGAACGGGUGUGAGAGUGGAAAGUUCACACUGUGACGGUAGCUUACCAGAAAGGGACGGCUAACUACGUG